GACGAACGCUGGCGGCGUGCUUAACACAUGCAAGUCGAGCGAGGGACUUCGGUUCCUAGCGGCGAACGGGUGAGUAACACGUGGGCAACCUGCCCCAAGCUCUGGAAUAACCUCGGGAAACCGGGGCUAAUGCCGGAUAUGACAUCACUGGGCAUCUGGUGGUGUGGAAAGAUUUAUCGGCUUGGGAUGGGCCCGCGGCCUAUCAGCUUGUUGGUGGGGUGAUGGCCUACCAAGGCGACGACGGGUAGCCGGCCUGAGAGGGCGACCGGCCACACUGGGACUGAGACACGGCCCAGACUCCUACGGGAGGCAGCAGUGGGGAAUAUUGCGCAAUGGGCGAAAGCCUGACGCAGCGACGCCGCGUGAGGGAUGACGGCC
rnacentral:rRNA from 3 species